rnacentral:snoRNA from 14 species
GUGCCCUUUUAAAACUGACAGUGCUUUAAGAGGCUAACACAGAAGGGGAAAGUAAGUCUCCCUAAAACCCAGAGAAGAGAUUGUCAUCUCCUCUUUGGAUCCUGUCUGGAGAUACAGCU